GUCGUAGUCCGGAUUGGAGUCUGCAACUCGACUCCAUGAAGUCGGAAUCGCUAGUAAUCGUGGAUCAGAAUGCCACGGUGAAUACGUUCCCGGGCCUUGUACACACCGCCCGUCACACCAUGGGAGUGGGCUGCAAAAGAAGUAGGUAGUUUAACCUUCGGGGGGACGCUUACCACUUUGUGGUUCAUGACUGGGGUGAAGUCGUAACAAGGUAGCGCUAGGGGAACCUGGCGCUGGAUCACCUCCUUAWRCGAUGAU
rnacentral:rRNA from 1 species